CACGUAGAAGACUAGUGUUAUUCAUCUUUAUUAGGUUUAAAGGGUACCUAGACGGAAAAUCAAGCCAUAAUAGGGACUAAUUUUCUAGAGUUUUAUGAGAGAAGGGGCGAAUUUCCGGAGGGAAAGUUGAUAUUUUGUGAUACUGGAAGGACGGGUAACGGCGAAGGCAACCUUUUAUGUAAAAACUGACGUUGAGGGACGAAGCCUUGGGUAACGAGAAGG
rnacentral:rRNA from 1 species